rnacentral:rRNA from 1 species
UACAGAGGUCCCAAGCGUUGUUCGGAUUCAUUGGGCGUAAAGGGUGCGUAGGCGGCGCGGUAAGUCGGGUGUGAAAUCUCGGAGCUUAACUCCGAAACUGCAUUCGAUACUGCCGUGCUUGAGGACUGGAGAGGAGACUGGAAUUUACGGUGUAGCGGUGAAAUGCGUAGAUAUCGUAAGGAAGACCAGUGGCGAAGGCGGGUCUCUGGACAGUUCCUAACGCUGAGGCACGAAGGCUAGGGGAGCAACCGGG